rnacentral:rRNA from 1 species
CAGUCGCCGCGGUAAUACAGAGGGUGCGAGCGUUAAUCGGAUUUACUGGGCGUAAAGCGUGCGUAGGCGGCUUUUUAAGUCGGAUGUGAAAUCCCUGAGCUUAACUUAGGAAUUGCAUUCGAUACUGGGAAGCUAGAGUAUGGGAGAGGAUGGUAGAAUUCCAGGUGUAGCGGUGAAAUGCGUAGAGAUGUGGAGGAAUACCGGUGGCGAAGGCAGCCAUCUGGACUAAUACUGACGCUGAGGUACGAAAGCAUGGGGAGCAAACAGGAUUAGAUACCCCUGUAGUCCCUGUCUCUUAUAC